rnacentral:ribozyme from 13 species
CCGGGAGGAAAACCCGGACGGCCCGGGGCUUCCAAAGGCGGAGGCGAAGGCGGACGCCGAGACGUCGGGCGAUUGAACGAAAACGAGAGACGUAUCC